CCUAACACAUGCAAGUCGAACGAGAUCUUCGGAUCUAGUGGCGGACGGGUGAGUAACGCGUGGGAAUAUGCCCUUUGGUACGGAAUAGCCUCGGGAAACUGAGAGUAAUACCGUAUGUGUCCUCUGAUCGUGGUGGUUGGAGGAGAAAGAUUUAUCGCCAAAGGAUUAGCCCGCGUUGGAUUAGAUAGUUGGUGGGGUAAUGGCCUACCAAGUCUACGAUCCAUAGCUGGUUUGAGAGGAUGAUCAGCCACACUGGGACUGAGACACGGCCCAGACUCCUACGGGAGGCAGCAGUGGGGAAUCUUAGACAAUGGGGGCAACCCUGAUCUAGCCAUGCCGCGUGAUCGAUGAAGGCCUUAGGGUUGUAAAGAUCUUUCAGUUGGGAAGAUAAUGACGGUACCAACAGAAGAAGCCCCGGCUAACUCCGUGCCAGCAGCCGCGGUAAUACGGAGGGGGCUAGCGUUAUUCGGAAUUACUGGGCGUAAAGCGCACGUAGGCGGACUGGAAAGUUAGAGGUGAAAUCCCAGGGCUCAACCUUGGAACUGGCCUUU
rnacentral:rRNA from 1 species